GGCACGAUGUCGGAGUGGUUAACGAGUGAGACUUGAAUUAUUAAGAAAUCCUCUUUGACGAGGAGUUCUUAUAUUAUGAAAUCUCAUGCCUUCGGGCGCGCAGGUUCGAAUCCUGCUCGUGUCG